rnacentral:rRNA from 1 species
CAAGUUGAACGGGAUUAAGUAGCAAUACUUAUGAGAGUAGCGCACGGGUGCGUAACGCGUAUGCAAUCUACCUUUAACUGGGGAAUAGCCCAAAGAAAUUUGGAUUAAUACCGCAUAAUAUAAUCGGGUGGCAUCACUUGAUUAUCAAAACUACGGUGGUUAAAGAUGAGCAUGCGUGACAUUAGCUAGUUGGUGAGGUAAUGGCUCACCAAGGCUCCGAUGUCUAGGGGGUCUGAGAGGAUGAUCCCCCACACUGGUACUGAGACACGGACCAGACUCCUACGGGAGGCAGCAGUAAGGAAUAUUGGUCAAUGGACGCAAGUCUGAACCAGCCAUGCCGCGUGCAGGAUGACUGCCCUAUGGGUUGUAAACUGCUUUUGUACGGGAAGAAACCCCUCUACGUGUAGAGGGUUGACGGUACCGUAAGAAUAAGGAUCGGCUAACUCCGUGCCAGCAGCCGCGGUAAUACGGAGGAUCCAAGCGUUAUCCGGAUUUAUGGGGUUUAAAGGGUGCGUAGGCGGCCUAUUAAGUCAGUGGUGAAAGCCUGGAGCUUAACUCCAGAACUGCCAUUGAUACUGAUGGGCUUGAGUACAGUUGAGGUUGGCGGAAUGUGUCAUGUAGCGGUGAAAUGCUUAGAUAUGACACAGAACACCGAUUGCGAAGGCAGCUAGCUAAACUGUAACUGACGCUGAGGCACGAAAGCGUGGGUAGCAAACAGGAUUAGAUACCCUGGUAGUCCACGCCCUAAACGUUGAUUACUCGAUGUGUGCGAUACACAGUACGCGUCUAAGCGAAAGCAUUAAGUAAUCCACCUGGGGAGUACGGUCGCAAGACUGAAACUCAAAGGAAUUGACGGGGGCCCGCACAAGCGGAGGAGCAUGUGGUUUAAUUCGAUGAUACCCGAGGAACCUUACCCGGGCUUGAAAGUUAGUGAAUGUAGUGGAAAC